AAGAACAUCCCUCCAUGGCCUCUGCAUCGGCUCCUGCUUUCUGACCUGCUUGAGUUCCAGUCCUGACUUCCUUGGUGAUGAACAGCAGUAUGGAAGUGUGUGUUGGGGUAUCCAGGAUUGGCUGAGUUGGGAGUGAUGGGUUCUGAUGAAGCCAUGAAGUCUUUGAAAAGAAAUGUGAAAGAUGUGCUCAGUUGUUCCUCCUGAGGGAAGGGACCACUCGUUUCUCCUUCCUUCUCUCCCCACACGGUCCCAGGGAGAAAGUGGGAAACUGUGAAGACAAAGUAACUACAAUGCUCUGCUGCAAAUUCUACAAUAACCCCAGCCCUCUAAUCCACUGUCAACUGAAGUGGGUGGCUGGAUAAAUGGAACCCCACCACCAUUUUAGAAGAAUGGACUUCACAGAACACUGUAAUUUCCAGAUGGUUCUAGUUUGGGACAGUGUGACACUCACACUUAUUUCCUAGUGUGCUUCCAUUCUCUUGGGUUUGCAACCAACUUACCAAUAAUAAUAAUACACUGUGCGCUGCUCAUGAAGCCUAGGAAGGCCACUUGUAUUAUUGCAGUCAGAUUAUUAAAGUGACUCUUGAAUCAGGGAAAUUAAAAUAAUUAGUAGUUCUAUGAAAAUUGUGUUGACAUCUGGGGAAUGAACCCAUCAUGGAGACUUCCUGAGGGGGAAAAAAAAUGUGUCAGCAAAGGAGAUAGCAAGAAAGCUGUAAAAUGCUGAGAAAAUGUUCCACAAUUCCAUGAGGCCUCUGUAUUAAGUUGUAAAUGCUAGAAGUUUGUCUUAAGUUCACCUAAACCUAAAUUUUAUGAACAAUUAUUUUUUGA
rnacentral:lncRNA from 1 species